GACAGAGGGGGCGAGCGUUGUCCGGAGUCACUGGGCGUAAAGCGCGCGCAGGCGGCAACCUUAGUGUCGUGUGAAAGCCCCCGGCUCAACCGGGGGAGGCCAUGGCAAACUGGGUCGCUCGAGCUGCGGAGAGGCUCCUCGAAUUGCCGGUGUAGCGGUGAAAUGCGUAGAGAUCGGCAGGAAGAACAAGGGGGAAGCCAGGGGGCUGGCCGCAGGCUGACGCUGAGGCGCGACAGCGUGGGGAGCAACCCGG
rnacentral:rRNA from 1 species